UACGUAGGGUGCAAGCGUUGUCCGGAAUUAUUGGGCGUAAAGAGCUCGUAGGCGGUUUGUCGCGUCUGCUGUGAAAACUCGGGGCUUAACCCCGGGCCUGCAGUGGGUACGGGCAGACUAGAGUGCGGUAGGGGAGACUGGAAUUCCUGGUGUAGCGGUGAAAUGCGCAGAUAUCAGGAAGAACACCGGUGGCGAAGGCGGGUCUCUGGGCCGUAACUGACGCUGAGGAGCGAAAGCGUGGGGAGCGAACAGG
rnacentral:rRNA from 1 species